GAGCUGGGGGUGGCCGCAGAGUCUGGGCCCAAGCGACUGUUUACUAAAAACACAGGUCCGUGCGAAGUCGUAAGACGCGGUAUACGGACUGACGCCUGCCCGGUGCCGGAACGUUAAGGGGAGUGGUGAGCCCCCGUCGGGGGUGAGGCUGCGAACCGAAGCGCCGGUAAACGGCGGUGGUAACUAUAACCAUCCUAAGGUAGCGAAAUUCCUUGUCGGGUAAGUUCCGACCUGCACGAAUGGCGUAACGACUUGGGCGCUGUCUCGACCACGGGCCCGACGAAAUUGCAGGACGAGUUAAGAUGCUCGUUUCGCGCGGCAGGACGGAAAGACCCCGGGACCUUUACUACAGCUUGGUAUGGGCGUCUGGUUCGGCUUGUGUAGGAUAGGUGGGAAACGGUGAACCUCACACGCCAGUGUGGGGGGAGUUGCUGGUGAAAUACCACUCUGGUCGUUCCGGGCGUCUAACCUCGGUCCGUGACCCGGACCAGGGACAGUGCCUGGUGGGUAGUUUAACUGGGGCGGUUGCCUCCUAAACGGUAACGGAGGCGCCCAAUGGUUCCCUCAGCCUGGACGGAAACCAGGUGACGCGUGUAAGUGCACAAGGGAGCUUGACUGUGAGACCGACGGGUCAAGCAGGUGCGAAAGCAGGGACUAGUGAUCCGGCACUGGCAUGCGGAUGCGGUGUCGCUCAACGGAUAAAAGGUACCCCGGGGAUAACAGGCUGAUCUUGCCCAAGAGUCCAUAUCGACGGCAUGGUUUGGCACCUCGAUGUCGGCUCGUCGCAUCCUGGGGCUGGAGUGGGUCCCAAGGGUUGGGCUGUUCGCCCAUUAAAGCGGCACGCGAGCUGGGUUUAGAACGUCGUGAGACAGUUCGGUCCCUAUCCGCCGCGCGCGUAUGGAGACGUGCGGGGAGCUGUCCCCAGUACGAGAGGACCGGGACGGACGAACCUCUAGUGUGCCAGUUGUCCCGCCAGGGGCACGGCUGGUUGGCCAUGUUCGGCACGGAUAACCGCUGAAAGCAUCUAAGCGGGAAGCCCACCCCAAGAUGACGUCUCCCACCCCACCUGGUGGGGAUAAGGCACCCAGCAGAUGACUGGGUUGAUAGGCCCGACAUGUACGCACAGCAAUGUGUUCAGUGGACGGGUACUAACCCGCCGAACGACGAC
rfam:Actinopolyspora erythraea strain YIM90600 genomic scaffold Scaffold21, whole genome shotgun sequence.